UCGACGGGAACCGUUGUAUCGGAUCCGCGGAACGUUAUCGAUCACCGCGUGCGGGAGCAAACGGCACGAGCACCAGAAGAGAUUUUAAGCACUGUUGACAGGAUAAUUGCACGUAUAUCUGCACUGGAUUGCGACAGACGAGACUGAGCGUCGCCGCGCGAAGCUGUUCCGCCGCGAGCCGCGCGUGCGCAGACCGCCCUUCGAUCCCCCACCACCGAUCUUCGCCCGAACCAGCCGAAAGAUCGCCGCUCUCCGUUUCUCCGCACGGUCGUCGCGAGUGCUCGUCUCCGUCGCGCUCUCGUUACUCGACCAUCGCCACUCGCCCCCGCAGCACGCACACGAUCAACGGUCCGCGCCGCGAUCUUAUUCCACACCUCCUUUCGGCGGUGAGACGAAGAAGAUGAGAGAGGAAGAGCGGGAGGGAGAUAGCCCGGGUCCUCUAGAUUCAAUUUGCCGGGCGAAAGUUUUUGUUGAAUAAGAACGAUGACAGCAAAGCAGUCGAUAUGCAGCACCCCUAUAUCUAUGGUUUUCAGUAUAAAGCGAUUUCCUACAUCGGAACGUCAGAUUGGAACGCGUGCAAAGCCAUUCUACAUAUUUCUGCCUAUUACGAAGGGAUUCCAUUUUCAUUCAAGCGACGAUGCGAAACCGGUUGUUUGGUUUCAAUGGAACAUUAGUUCCAUUGUAUAACUCGUUAAUUAUUCCGUAAAACGGGAAUUUUUCUUCGUGACGCGGAUACCCGGUGAAAGAACGAAAGGGUGAACAAUUAUGUUCGAUGUAAAAAAUGAAUUUUCAUCAGCGAUCGGAGCAAAAAUGAAUCUAUAGACGUGUCACGAAGUUUGCACGUUUGCCGACGUAUUCAGCGUUCCACAAUGGAGGACGCAGAACGCGGCCUAGCGGCGCAUGGAAUUAUUUAAUAUGCACGGAGGGAACAACAUGGCUGGUAAUAGGAUUACUGACACAUUACCUCGUCAUGAAAACAAAUUACGUUGUCGUUGAAAUAAAUAAAUAAUUGACUC